GAGUUUAGGUUAGCCUAGACCAAGAGCCUUCAAAGCUCUAAGCAAAUAGCGUAUAUUUAACUCCUG
rnacentral:tRNA from 1 species